CCCAGCUCAGUAUCUGCAUAGGAGAGCACAGGUGAUGCCACAGCUCGUGUGUGAACAGUCUUUGUGCACAGACAACAGUGUGAGUGGUACCGGAAACCAUACUGCAACAGAAACUAGCUGCUCGAGCAUGGGUGCUGGGGGCUGUGGCUCGUCCAGCUGCAAGAGCUGCCUCCCCUCUGGUGCUGAUGAAGCUGAAGGCAUCAAGCCUGGCCUGUCUCCCACUCCACUGAGCCUUACUUGAAUGCAGUUGCAGUGGCAUGAAUUAUUGAUAUUUCUGUUAAGGUUUGCUGUUCACACAGGAAUUUGUGAUGCUUCCCCACACUAGGCUGUGAAUGUGCUCCUGGGUCACAUGAAGGGUUGAGUUUAACACCCUUUUACUUCCAUGGUCGUUGACAUUGAUUUAGCAGCUUCAGGGCUGGGGCUGCAAAAUGAACAACCAGCCAAUGGGAACAGCUCUUUCCUAACAAAACAAGGUGGUCUUGGGGGGGUGAAAGGAUCUAAUAUGGAAGGGCACAGGGAAGGUACAGUCAUGACUGUGCAUUUUCAUGGCAUCACCGUAAAGCUGAUGAAAAAGCUUUUGAGGAAUUUCUGAGCAUCCUUUGCCCUGACCUCAGAGCUUGGCAUUUGCAGAAGCUGCCCUUGCUGCCACUGUGCUCCCCACCUCAGGAGACUGCCUUAAUAAUGUCCGUUUCUAAGGCAACAACCUUGUGACUUAGCAAAGGCUGAGAUAAAAGUGUGCUUGUUUACAAACAAACACACUUCACUCACAUAAAUAUGUGAGUACGUCUAUACAUAUGCAUAGAGAUUGGUAUCAGACUGAACAAGUCACUUAGCAGCCAGGAGACAGAAAGCAUCUGAAUAAGGGUGAUGUCAUGGCAGAGACAACUGGUCUCUGGAGAGCUUGGCCAGAGACACUGCAAGAAGUAGGAGCAAAUUCAUUAAGUACAGGUCGUACCCCCAAGCAAAAUGUGGGGAAAAGCUCAAAGGAGUUUUUGCCUCCUCUGGGGACAGGCAGGAGGGAGCAGACUGGUGUGGACGAGCCUGAGCAGCUAUGCCCAUCAGCCUCCUGGGAGCCUCUGCCAGCUCUGCCAGGGCAACCUUUACCCUUUAACCCUGCAGGAUGGUAAACCAUGACUCAGUCUCUGCUCUGCACCAGGAAUCACAAUUAUCAGGAGAGUCUUAUUGCCUCUCCUGGAUCAACACUGUGCUGAACAAUGCUGGAGCAAUACCCAAGCCCUUAACCUUGAAUAACCCCAGAGUAAAUCUACAGAGAUACCUUUGCA